GUCAUUUUCACCCAGGAGCAUAAACCGUAUCUUAAUAAAUUAGUCUUAGCUAAUGGCGAUUGUCUGCCUGAUCCUGAGCUGAUAACAGAAUGGGUAGACGGAGUUAACGAGUGGCCAGAGAUUCAUUGGCCCACCAUCUGGUUGACAAGCCCAGUAUGUAUACACACGAAAAAGUAGAACAAGUAGGCAUUUUUCUUGACGUUUCAGUCAAUUCACGCA